AGCAAAGGACAGUCAUUUCUAAGAAUGACCAUUAGUAAUACAAAGUACCGUUUGUGUCUGAAAAUAGCUCACCGCUUUGCUGGCAGCAACAUAAAGCAGUACAGCCUUGUAGGGGACACUUUGGGGAUGAUACAAAAGACUUAAAAACGUAUAUCCAGAAGAAUUUACCCUAAAGUAAUAAGCAAGGAUAUAAACCUAGAUUUAGCCAGAAGUGCUCAGCGAAGUACUAUUUAAAAUGGCAAAUAAUGAUGGCAUUGUUUAAUGCAUCCUCAAAAAAAGCUGACUACAUAAGUUGUUAUUCCCAGACAACAGAACGUCACAGUCAUUAAGAGGACACUGUCUAAAAACAGUAAAGGAUGGGGCACCCGGGUGACUUAGUGGGCUAAGCAUCGAACUCUUGGUUUUGGCUCAGGUCAUGAUCUCAUGGUUCAUGAGAAGCUUCUUGGUCAUAAAAGGCAAAGACAAGACCGAAGAAAUGCUCUAGAGUAGAGAUUAAGGAGACAUGGCAACCGAAAGCAGUGGGUGAUCCUGGGUCAGCAAAAAGACAUUGGUGGGAUAAGUGGCAAGAUUUGAAUAAGGUAUAGAUUCUAUAAUCUGUAAUGUAUUCUGUAAUCUAUAGAUUACCAUACUGUUGUCAAUUUUAAUUUCAUCAGGCUGAUAACUGAACAAUCUAGGUGAGGGGUUAUGGAAAUUCUUUGUACCAAUUUUGCAACUUUUGUGUACAUCUGAAGUUUCUUCAAAAUGAAAAGUAAAUAAAAUAUUUUUCAAUUUUUACACAAUCCCCCAGAAAUCUAAGAUGAAAUAUGAACAAGGACAUAACACAGCAAGUAAGAAAAAAAAAACAGUUGAGACAUGGGACAUGUAAAGAUUGUCUUCCAUUCUUCAAAACCAUCUGCUACAGUGAUGCACAAGUUAGCUGAAGCCAUCUCCGGGAAAUUCAGUGCUCCAAAGCUCAGGAAGUAGAAGUUAUGCAAAUGUGACAAGCUGCAUAAUUGUAGUGUGCAUUUCCAUAGGGUUUAAGAUAAAUUAGGAGACGGAUGAUAAUUUUCUAAAAAAUUGUAACUCUGCCUGGCCUUCUAUUUUCACCUCUCCCAAGUCAUAACAAAUUCCUACUCUUUGGAACUUACAUCUUUUACAUGUAAUAACUAAUGUAUUUAUUCAUUCAGUAUAUAUCUAAGAGGCCUCUACUGUGGACGAGGCUCUGUGCUAGGAACUCGUGGUAGAAUGUGAACCUGACGAGGUUCUUUCCUCCGGAAACUCACAGUUCACAACGAACAGAAUCGGGUAAAACCAACAAUGGUCAGCAUGAAGGAGAAAGGGCCGUGAUGCAGAAAUGGUGAUGCUGGGGGAGCAAACCUAUUUAAGCUGCUUGGUUCUGUGCUCCCUGUUGGCUGCCCUGGCAAAAACCUGAUGCCCGCCAAGCACACCUAAGG